GCUGGACACCGCCGAGUCGCAGAGAACCAGAGCCUUCAUCGGGUGGCUGAGGGAUCAGAGGCCGUUCUUCCCCUCCCUGCAUGUCAUCAGGGACGAGAGCCAGCUGAAACCGACCUUUAUGCAGAACAUGAUCGAGGACCGGACAGAGUCGGCCCUUUCAUACUACGAGUUCCUGCUCCACCUCCAACAGCAAAUCUCCAAAUAAUCUUCAGUGGGACUGUGGAGACGAGGAAACACUGAAGGAAGGACGCUCAUCUGUGUGUGUGUGUGUGUGUGCAUGUAUUUGGUGUUUGUGUGAAAGCGGUGCGAGUCAGACUCGAGAAUGCCUCUUGCUCCAUCUCCAGCUGUGGUCUCUCACCAUCGCUCUGAAGAAAAUGCUGAACCGUCGUGAACUCUUAUCGUCACACAAAUCAAACCGAUGCGGCGGACAGUGCGAGGACGGAGAGUGAAUCCAAGAUGAUGAUGAUGGGGUGAUUAUGUAUGUCAAUGAUUGAAUGAAUCAGUGUUUAUUCUCAUAGAACAAUGCUGUCUUACUGAGGUAUCAUUCAGAUACAGUCCAGGCAAACUGAAGUGUUUUUGUUCAAAAGGCACGGUCGUCUUUGAAGCGUGUGUAUGCGUCAGACUAGGUUCAUGGGGAAGGUUGGUAUGCCUGCACUUAAAGACUGUUAUAGAGCGUCCCCGGGACUAUUUGUUCGCAGGACGCCUGAGCUCUAACAACACUCUUCAUAUCGUACCCGAAGGACGGAACGUGUGCUUAUUUUUUACAAAUUUCUCAGUCAUUAUAAGUGUGUGUGUGUGUGUGUGUGUGAGAAACAUCUGUAGACGGUGUUCGCUGCGUUGAAUGUGUGGACUCGGCAGCGGGAAGUCGUUUGUCAUUGGUCUGAUCUGUCCUUCAGAAGCUCUUUGUCAUCUUUAUUUUCUCUCUCUGGUCAUUCACAGCACCUCUGUGACGACGGCGCUGUUCUCUUGGUUCAUUUCAGCAUUUCUGUUUCCGAUGUUCUAAUAAUUUAUGAGACUCCCGAUCUAAUUGAAUUCUAUAAUUGCCUUGUAUGGGAAGUCACUUUUUAUUAUUAAACCUCUGUUUAAAUACGGACUCUAUAUAUGAAAUAUUUUAAUAUAAUAGGAUAUGGGAAGUUCUUUAACACAGACAUAAUAAAGCCAUUGUGAUCUUUUAAUCAUGCUUAUUGAGACUUGUAUAUUGAAAAAGGCUGCAUUAAAUAAAGUUGAAGAAAUGCUGGUGA